rnacentral:rRNA from 3 species
UGGGGAAUAUUGCACAAUGGGCGCAAGCCUGAUGCAGCCAUGCCGCGUGUAUGAAGAAGGCCUUCGGGUUGUAAAGUACUUUCAGCGGGGAGGAAGGUGUUGUGGUUAAUAACCACAGCAAUUGACGUUACCCGCAGAAGAAGCACCGGCUAACUCCGUGCCAGCAGCCGCGGUAAUACGGAGGGUGCAAGCGUUAAUCGGAAUUACUGGGCGUAAAGCGCACGCAGGCGGUCUGUCAAGUCGGAUGUGAAAUCCCCGGGCUCAACCUGGGAACUGCAUUCGAAACUGGCAGGCUAGAGUCUUGUAGAGGGGGGUAGAAUUCCAGGUGUAGCGGUGAAAUGCGUAGAGAUCUGGAGGAAUACCGGUGGCGAAGGCGGCCCCCUGGACAAAGACUGACGCUCAGGUGCGAAAGCGUGGGGAGCAAACA